rnacentral:rRNA from 1 species
ACGCUCGACACCUACGGGAGACAGCAGUGGGGAAUAUUGCACAAUGGGGGAAACCCUGAUGCAGCGACGCCGCGUGGAGGAAGAAGGUCUUCGGAUUGUAAACUCCUGUUGUUGGGGAAAAAGAGGAUGGUACCCAACAAGGAAGUGACGGCUAACUACGUGCCAGCAGCCGCGGUAAUCUGAGGCGGGCUGGCAAGGC